rnacentral:rRNA from 1 species
UACGUAGGGUGCGAGCGUUAAUCGGAAUUACUGGGCGUAAAGCGUGCGUAGGCGGAUAUUUAAGUCAGGGGUGAAAUCCCAGAGCUCAACUCUGGAACUGCCUUUGAUACUGGGUAUCUUGAGUAUGGAAGAGGUAAGUGGAAUUGCGAGUGUAGAGGUGAAAUUCGUAGAUAUUCGCAGGAACACCAGUGGCGAAGGCGGCUUACUGGUCCAUAACUGACGCUGAGGUGCGAAAGCGUGGGGAGCAAACAGG